GAUGAACGCUGGCGGCGUGCUUAACACAUGCAAGUCGAACGGUGAAGGCGGAGCUUGCUCUGCUGGAUCAGCGGCGAACGGGUGAGUAACACGUGAGCAAUCUGCCCCUGACUCUGGGAUAAGCGCUGGAAACGGCGUCUAAUACUGGAUACGAGCUGCGAAGGCAUCUUCAGCAGCUGGAAAGAAUUUCGGUCAGGGAUGAGCUCGCGGCCUAUCAGCUUGUUGGUGAGGUAAUGGCUCACCAAGGCGUCGACGGGUAGCCGGCCUGAGAGGGUGACCGGCCACACUGGGACUGAGACACGGCCCAGACUCCUACGGGAGGCAGCAGUGGGGAAUAUUGCACAAUGGGCGAAGGCCUGAUGCAGCAACGCCGCGUGAGGGACGACGGCCUUCGGGUUGUAAACCUCUUUUAGCAGGGAAGAAGCGAAAGUGACGGUACCUGCAGAAAAAGCGCCGGCUAACUACGUG
rnacentral:rRNA from 1 species